rnacentral:rRNA from 1 species
GAUGAACGCUGGCGGCGUGCCUAAUACAUGCAAGUCGAGCGAACAGACGAGGAGCUUGCUCCUCUGACGUUAGCGGCGGACGGGUGAGUAGCACGUGGAUAACCUACCUAUAAGACUGGGAUAACUUCGGGAAACCGGAGCUAAUACCGGAUAAUAUAUUGAACCGCAUGGUUCAAUAGUUAAAGACGGUUUUGCUGUCACUUAUAGAUGGAUCCGCGCCGCAUUAGCUAGUUGGUAAGGUAACGGCUUACCAAGGCGACGAUGCGUAGCCGACCUGAGAGGGUGAUCGGCCACACUGGAACUGAGACACGGUCCAGACUCCUACGGGAGGCAGCAGUAGGGAAUCUUCCGCAAUGGGCGAAAGCCUGACGGAGCAACGCCGCGUGAGUGAUGAAGGUCUUCGGAUCGUAAAACUCUGUUAUUAGGGAAGAACAAAUGUGUAAGUAACUAUGCACGUCUUGACGGUACCUAAUCAGAAAGCAACGGCUAACUACGUG